rnacentral:rRNA from 1 species
AACGAACGCUGGCGGCAGGCCUAACACAUGCAAGUCGAGCGAGGUAGCAAUACCUAGCGGCGGACGGGUUAGUAACGCGUGGGAACGUGCCCAAAGGUACGGAAUAGCCUCGGGAAACUGAGAGUAAUACCGUAUGUGCCCUUCGGGGGAAAGAUUUAUCGCCUUUGGAUCGGCCCGCGUUGGAUUAGGUAGUUGGUGGGGUAAUGGCCUACCAAGCCGACGAUCCAUAGCUGGUUUGAGAGGAUGAUCAGCAACACUGGGACUGAGACACGGCCCAGACUCCUACGGGAGGCAGCAGUGGGGAAUCUUAGGCAAUGGGGGAAACCCUGAUCUAGCCAUGCCGCGUGAGCGAUGAAGGCCUUAGGGUUGUAAAGCUCUUUCAGCUGGGAAGAUAAUGACGGUACCAGCAGAAGAAGCCCCGGNUAACUCCGUG